rnacentral:lncRNA from 1 species
UUAGUAAAUUCUAGAGGUUUGGAUAUAUUUGAAGAAAUUUUAAAAAAAUAAUAAAGAUAUUUUGGUCAACUAAGGUAUAUUAGAUAUUUUUAUGUUUUGAAGUGUAUAUUAAUUAUUACGAAAAAUUUCGAAUACCUCCCCCGUUAUUUUUCACUUUCUCACUUUCUCACUUUAAUACCCUGUGAUUUAAAGUGUAUCAAUUUAGUAUUCUGUAGUUUCAUUUUUCUUUUUUUUAUUAUCCAUUUCACUAAUUUUUUUCGUUAAAUCAGUGACAAAGUUAAAACUAAAGGGUACUAAUAUGAAUAUGCGAAACCUCCGUGGGAUAUCUGAAGUUUUUUGUAUAUAAUCUAACGAAAUAUUAACGGAGGAGCUGACGAAAAGAGAAAAAUGAAAUCACGUGAUAUUAAUUUGAUACACUUUAAAUUAUAGGGUAAUAAAGUGAAAAAGUACAAAACCACAGGAGCGGUAUUUGAAGUUUACCCUAAUACAAGCCCUAU